CUGAGCAGUCAACAGCAUUUCUUGUUCCAAGAUCACCCUUCUGAGUACCUCUCUGGCUGCCAAAUUGCCAGGGCCUUCACAGUUUGAUUCCAUUUCUCAGCUCCAAGCAUUAGGUAAACCCACCAAGCAAUCCUAGCCUGUGAUGGCGUUUGACGUCAGCUGCUUCUUUUGGGUGGUGCUGUUUUCUGCCGGCUGUAAAGUCAUCACCUCCUGGGAUCAGAUGUGCAUUGAGCGUGCCUGCUCCCCGUCUGCCUUCUGCCAUGAUUGUAAGCGUCUCAAGUCCUCCCCAGAAGCCAAGCAGAUGCCAGCACUGUGC
rnacentral:lncRNA from 10 species